CGAUUUAAAAAACCUAAAAUUUUCUCUGAAAGAGAGAGAGAGAGGAGAGAAGCUCCGGGCUCUGGCCUCCGUAGGCCUCGCCCCGGUCGUCGGCCUCACGCGCCCACACGCUGCCCUAAGGACCACCGCGCACGGUGGCUAGGGUUCGAAAAAACCUUCUUUUCCUUCGCCAAUCAUCAAGUAAUCCACGAGAAUCUCGCUCGAUCACUGAUGUCUGCGCGCUAAUGGAGCCAACGCCAGAUUCUGGCCGUGUCUUGUGCGUCGAUGGUGGCGUGACAUAUGAUGGCAGAGUCGAGAAGUCACGGCGUGCUUGGUGGCGACGAUUGAGAUGAAAAGCCACGCCAUUUGAAGUGCCCGAAGCUUCUAGAAACUCCUUGCGGCGCGAGGAGAGGGCUAGGGUUUCUAACUCUAAUAGAAUGCUUCUAAAUUUUGGGCCUCUGAGAGUUUGGGUCUGUUUUAGGUUUGGGCUUUGGGUGUAUUUGGGUUAAGGUUAUAAUUGUAAUGGGUCCAGGGUGUAAACGGGUUAAGGUUGUAAGUGGGUCCACUGGGUAGCUUUAGGCCUGCUGGGUAGUAUCCGGGUAAAUGGGUCUGAGAUGUUUGAUUUUGGGCCCAUUGUUUGGGCUUUGUAACAUGGACUUGGACUGUUUAAUAAAUGUAUAUUUAUUUA